GCCGGGCGUGGUGGCUCACGCCUGUAAUCCCAGCACUUUGGGAGGCCGAGGCGGGUGGAUCACCUGAGGUCAGGAGUUCUAGACCAGCCUGGCCAACAUGGUGAAACCCUGUCUCCA
ensembl:misc_RNA Metazoa_SRP Metazoan signal recognition particle RNA